UACGUAGGCAGCAAGCGUUGUUCGGAGUUACUGGGCGUAAAGGGUGCGUAGGCGGCUUUUUAAGUUUGGUGUGAAAUCUCCCGGCUCAACUGGGAGGGUGCGCCGAAUACUGAGAGGCUAGAGUGUGGGAGAGGAAAGUGGAAUUCCUGGUGUAGCGGUGAAAUGCGUAGAUAUCAGGAGGAACACCGGUGGUGUAAACGGCUUUCUGGACCAUAACUGACGCUGAGGCACGAAAGCGUGGGUAGCAAACAGG
rnacentral:rRNA from 2 species